UUGUUGGUAAGGUAAAAGCUUACCAAGGCUUCGAUCAGUAGCUGGUCUGAGAGGACGACCAGCCACACUGGGACUGAGACACGGCCCAGACUCCUACGGGAGGCAGCAGUGGGGAAUUUUGGACAAUGGGGGCAACCCUGAUCCAGCCAUGCCGCGUGAGUGAAGAAGGCCUUCGGGUUGUAAAGCUCUUUCAGCCGGAACGAAACGGUUACGGUUAACACCCGUGACUACUGACGGUACCGGAAGAAGAAGCACCGGCUAACUACGUGCCAGCAGCCGCGGUAAUACGUAGGGUGCGAGCGUUAAUCGGAAUUACUGGGCGUAAAGCGUGCGCAGGUGGUUUUGUAAGUCAGAUGUGAAAGCCCCGGGCUCAACCUGGGAACUGCGUUUGAAACUACAAGACUAGAGUGUGGCAGAGGGGGGUGGAAUUCCGCGUGUAGCAGUGAAAUGCGUAGAGAUGUGGAGGAACACCGAUGGCGAAGGCAGCCCCCUGGGUCAACACUGACGCUCAGGCACGAAAGCAUGGGGAGCAAACUGGAUUAGAUACCCUGGUAGUCCAUGCCCUAAACGAUGUCAACUAGUUGUCGGGCCUUUACGGGCUUGGUAACGUAGCUAACGCGUGAAGUUGACCGCCUGGGGAGUACGAUCGCAAGAUUAAAACUCAAAUGAAUUGACGGGGACCCGCACAAGCGGUGGAUUAUGUGGAUUAAUUCGAUGCAACGCGAAAAACCUUACCUACCCUUGACAUGUAUCGAAGCCCGCAGAAAAGCGGGGGUGCCCGAAAGGGAACGAUAACACAGGUGCUGCAUGGCUGUCGUCAGCUCGUGUCGUGAGAUGUUGGGUUAAGUCCCGCAACGAGCGCAACCCUUGUCAUUAAUUGCCAUCAUUUAGUUGGGCACUUUAAUGGGACUGCCGG
rnacentral:rRNA from 1 species